GUGAGGAAUAUUGCGCAAUGGAGGCAACUCUGACGCAGCCAUGCCGCGUGCAGGAAGAAGGCGCUACGCGUUGUAAACUGCUUUUAACCGGGAAGAAACCCCAGGACGUGUCCUGGGUUGACGGUACCGGAGGAAUAAGCACCGGCUAACUUCGUGCCAGCAGCCGCGGUAAUACGAAGGGUGCAAGCGUUAUCCGGAUUCAUUGGGUUUAAAGGGAGCGUAGGCGGAGCGUUAAGUCAGUGGUGAAAUCCUGCAGCUUAACUGUAGACUUGCCAUUGAUACUGGCGCUCUUGAGUGCGCUUGAAGUGGGCGGAAUGUGCCGUGUAGCGGUGAAAUGCUUAGAUAUGGCACAGAACACCAAUUGCGAAGGCAGCUCACUAAGGCGAUACUGACGCUGAGGCACGAAAGCGUGGGGAUCGAACAGGAUUAGAUACCCCGGUAGUCC
rnacentral:rRNA from 1 species